CCUACGGGAGGCUGCAGUGAGGAAUAUUGGUCAAUGGGCUUACGCCUGAACCAGCCAAGCCGCGUGAGUGAAGACUGCCCUAUGGGUUGUAAAUCCUUUUUGUCAGGGAGCAAUUGGCGCUACGUGUAGCGUUAUCGAGUGUACUUGCAGAAAAAGCAUCCGCUAACUCCGUGCCAGCAGCCGCGGUAAUACGGAGGAUGCGAGCGUUAUCCGGAUUUAUUGGGUUUAAAGGGUGCGUAGGCGGAAUGCCAAGUCAGCGGUAAAAUCGCGGGGCUCAACCGCGCUCCGCCGUUGAAACCGGCGUGCUUGAGUGGGCGAGAAGUAUGCGGAAUGCGUGGUGUAGCGGUGAAAUGCAUAGAUAUCACGCGGAACUCCGAUUGCGAAGGCAGCAUACCGGCGCCCAACUGACGCUGAAGCACGAAAGCGUGGGUAUCGAACAGGAUUAGAUACCCUUGUAGUC
rnacentral:rRNA from 1 species